rnacentral:rRNA from 1 species
UACGAAGGGGGCUAGCGUUGUUCGGAAUCACUGGGCGUAAAGCGUAUGUAGGCGGAUUGUUAAGUCAGGGGUGAAAUCCCCGGGCUCAACCCGGGAACUGCGUCCGAUACUGGCAGGCUUGAAUCCGGGAGAGGGAUGCGGAAUUCCAGGUGUAGCGGUGAAAUGCGUAGAUAUCUGGAGGAACACCGGUGGCGAAGGCGGCAUCCUGGACCGGCAUUGACGCUGAGGCGCGAAAGCCAGGGGAGCAAACGGG